CCACACCAUGGGAGUCAGUUGCUCCAGAAAUCAUGAUUCUGACCCGCAAGGGGAGAUAAUGCUCAAGGAGUGGCUGGUAACUGGGGUG
rnacentral:rRNA from 1 species